rnacentral:rRNA from 1 species
GACGAACGCUGGCGGCGUGCCUAAUACAUGCAAGUAGAACGCUGAAGGAGGAGCUUGCUUCUCUGGAUGAGUUGCGAACGGGUGAGUAACGCGUAGGUAACCUGCCUGGUAGCGGGGGAUAACUAUUGGAAACGAUAGCUAAUACCGCAUAAUAGUAGAUGUUGCAUGACAUUUGCUUAAAAGGUGCAAUUGCAUCACUACCAGAUGGGCCUGCGUUGUAUUAGCUAGUUGGUGGGGUAACGGCUCACCAAGGCGACGAUACAUAGCCGACCUGAGAGGGUGAUCGGCCACACUGGGACUGAGACACGGCCCAGACUCCUACGGGAGGCAGCAGUAGGGAAUCUUCGGCAAUGGACGGAAGUCUGACCGAGCAACGCCGCGUGAGUGAAGAAGGUUUUCGGAUCGUAAAGCUCUGUUGUAAGAGAAGAACGAGUGUGAGAGUGGAAAGUUCACACUGUGACGGUAUCUUACCAGAAAGGGACGGCUAACUACGUG